rnacentral:rRNA from 1 species
AGCGAACGCUGGCGGCAGGCUUAACACAUGCAAGUCGAACGGUCCUUCGGGAUAGUGGCGGACGGGUGAGUAACACGUGGGAACGUACCCUUAGGUUCGGAACAAAACAGGGAAACUUGUGCUAAUACCGGAGAAGCCCUUCGGGGGAAAGAUUUAUCGCCUUUGGAGGGGCCCGCGUCUGAUUAGCUUGUUGGUGAGGUAAUGGCUCACCAAGGCUACGAUCAGUAGCUGGUCUGAGAGGAUGGCCAGCCACACUGGGACUGAGACACGGCCCAGACUCCUACGGGAGGCAGCAGUGGGGAAUCUUGCGCAAUGGGGGAAAGCCUGACGCAGCCAUGCCGCGUGAAUGAUGAAGGUCUUAGGAUUGUAAAAUCCUUUCACCGGGGACGAUAAUGACGGUGCCCGGAGAAGAAGCCCCGGCUAACUUCGUGCCAGCAGCCGCCGUAA